rnacentral:rRNA from 1 species
GUAGGGAAUCUUCCGCAAUGGACGAAAGUCUGACGGAGCAACGCCGCGUGAGUGAUGAAGGUUUUCGGAUCGUAAAGCUCUGUUGCCAGGGAAGAACGCCUCGGAGAGUAACUGCUCCGAGGGUGACGGUACCUGAGAAGAAAGCCCCGGCUAACUACGUGCCAGCAGCCGCGGUAAUACGUAGGGGGCAAGCGUUGUCCGGAAUUAUUGGGCGUAAAGCGCGCGCAGGCGGUUCAUUAAGUCUGGUGUCUAAGGCUGGGGCUCAACCCCGGUUCGCACUGGAAACUGGUGAACUUGAGUGCAGAAGAGGAAAGUGGAAUUCCACGUGUAGCGGUGAAAUGCGUAGAGAUGUGGAGGAACACCAGUGGCGAAGGCGACUUUCUGGGCUGUAACUGACGCUGAGGCGCGAAAGCGUGGGGAGCAAACAGGAUUAGAUACCCUUGUAGUCC